rnacentral:rRNA from 1 species
AUGGAGCACACAAGAAAUGGUGAUCUGAAGGUCAGCUAUGAGCAGCAGGAGCUGUUCGGGCGGCGCCCGAACGGCACCUCGCCCGCCUCCAUCGACCUUGCCAGGGAGGCCGUGGACAGCCGCCCGGCAACGGCAAGGGUGACAUCGCCGCCGAAGAACACCCCGAGCCGGCAGGGCGCUUGCGCUGACGGCGAGCUCGACGUGUUCUCGGCCGAGCGUUACUUCAAGGGCGCAAUGGACGGCCACCAGCAGGAGGGCCCCGCCACGCCCACGCGCGUGGAGGCUGUGGCCGCGGGGGCGGGGGCGAGGCCAGCCGUGCCGGUGAGCGAGCCGGCAUGGACGCGUGCGUCGUCGGCGAGCGCCGGCUCGGUGGGCAGCGCCUACAGCCAGACCGUUCUCCUCCGGGAUGCGCGCCGCCGCCGGAGAUACCACUGCAUGAAGUGCUGCCUCCAGGUCGGCGUGCUCCUGCGUCUCUGCUCCGGGAAGCGGGCCGUGCGCGUGGACGGCGCGACCGCCGUGGCGACGGAGACCGCCGGAUCGAGCAAGCUGGCGGCAUCGGCGACAGCGAGCAAUAUCGAGUGGUACAAAGACCUGAGGAGGGAGAAGGCUGGCCUCGGGCUAACCGGGGACGGCCGCCGUGGCGUCGUUGCCGGCCUCCCGCCAAAUUUGAAUCUCGGGGCAGCAGGAGUGGCAGCCGUAGGGCAGCAAGAGAAGGGGGGCGAGUACACGAGCGCGAGCUGUAGGAGAGGAAGCUUCACUCUUCCUGCUCCGGUGAAAGUCAGCUGCGGCAGAGGCGGCGGUGACGACGAGGGCGGGAGCGAGUCGAGCUCGGACCUGUUCGAGAUCAAGAGCCUAAUGAUCGACGACUGCCCGCACGAGCCCGGCGAGGAAAGCGUCCAGUGGAGCGUGGUGACCGCGAGCGCGGGUGGCGGCCGCUCCGGCGCCCCGGUGGCCGUGACGCAGGACAGAGACAGUCCGGUUGGGAUAUUGACAGGCUGCCUGAGCCGCGGGCCGGUGGAUGUGUCGGCGGUGGCCGGGGUGUGCAGGUUCCCCGACCCAUCGGCGUCGGCGCCGGCGCAUUGA